rnacentral:lncRNA from 1 species
GGGACUUCACGCUAUACUGGGUGCAGGGCUUAUUUUAUCUGUCCCCGCUGCUGCUUUGGCCAUAGCGUAUGAGACCACUCAGAACCGAUAAGCUCGGUUGAAAACGCCAGUGCGCUCUUCUUCCAGCUUAGGAUUUCUGCCUGAAGACAGCGCCAUGCAGGAUCACGGACAGGGACGGGUGCACCGUUUUCGCGACCAUGUCGUCACCGGCGUCAACUGGCGACCGACGCGGUUCGUCGACGAGGUACCAAAUUCACGUGUAUGCGGCCUCUGCUGCAUGAUCCCAAAACGAACGGUGCUGUUGCCAUGCGGUCACGCCCUGUGCGAAUCUUGCCACGCAGCCAGUCUCGACGGGGGCUCUGGCCAGUGUCCAUUGGAUCAAGUGCAAUUCGAAGAAGCGGAGGGCGUUGGGUACGAAUUUCCUACAAGGAUAGCGAAUACUAUGAAGGUGUACUGCUGGAACGAAGAGCACGGCUGCGAGUACACGGGGACCAUGGAUCGUAUGCUGCAACACUACGAGAACGAAUGCGCAUUUCACACCGUGGAAUGUUUGCGGUGCGGCGAGGGAGUCC